AGAUGUUUUGGGACUUCAACUCCCAUCACCCCUAGCUAACAGGACCAGUGGUCAGGGAUGGUGGGAAUUGUAGUCCCAAAACAUCU